rnacentral:lncRNA from 1 species
GAUUUUGAAGAUCCAACAGGAAGCCAACCAACACCACCAGCUGGGGUUACUAAUAAUGUUCCUAAGAAGCCAAAGAGGAAAAAGGCAAAGGCAACUUCCUCUCCUAAAUCUUCAUCAAGACAAUCAAGAGCACCAAGGUCAAAGGGAGAGAGAAACAACAACAAUUGCUGAUCAACAUUAGAUGGUUUAUCAAGAAUGUUAAAUUGGUGCAUUGAAAAUGGAUUUGGGCAUUGGCAAUUGGCAAUGUUAAUUAAUAGCAAAAACCAUAUGCAAUGCCCUUAAUAUUAGGUACACUAUGGAAUCAAAGAGCAAAACUAUUAAAAUUUCCAUGUUGUUUAGUAUAUCCAAGUUCACUUAGAGAAAAAUCAAAUAUCAUGCUAACAAGGUGGGAGAAAAAUCAUUGAGGAGAAAAAAUGUGGCUACUACUCUUGGGUGUUUGGAUGUGUGUUGGUGAUUGAUUGGUUUUAUGUGAAUUAUAACUAAACCUUAAAUAUAUAAGCUGUAUUGUCAGUUUUGUAGAUUAAAUGAAGAUAUGGAGGAAAACAAAAAUUGUAAAAUAUCUUCAUUAUUUUAUAAGAUCAAUAUAAGCUAGUAAUUGACUA